UNUGACUUGAGUGCAGAAGGGGAGAGUGGAAUNCCAUGUGUAGCGGUGAAAUGCGUAGAUAUAUGGAGGAACACCAGUGGCGAAAGCGGCUCUCUGGUCUGUCACUGACGCUGAGGCUNGAAAGCGUGGGUAGCGAACAGGAUUAGAUACCCUGGUAGUNCACGCCGUAAACGAUGAGUGCUAGGUGUUAGGCCCUUUCCGGGGCUUAGUGCCGGAGCUAACGCAAUAAGCACUCCGCCUGGGGAGUACGACCGCAAGGUUGAAACUCAAAGGAAUUGACGGGGGCCCGCACAAGCGGUGGAGCAUGUGGUUUAAUUCGAAGCAACGCGAAGAACCUUACCAGGUCUUGACAUCCCGAUGCUAUUCUUAGAGAUAGGAAGUUACUUCGGUACAUCGGAGACAGGUGGUGCAUGGUUGUCGUCAGCUCGUGUCGUGAGAUGUUGGGUUAAGUCCCGCAACGAGCGCAACCCUUAUUGUUAGUUGCCAUCAUUAAGUUGGGCACUCUAGCGAGACUGCCGGUAAUAAACGGGAGGAAGGUGGGGAUGACGUCAAAUCAUCAUGCCCCUUAUGACCUGGGCUACACACGUGCUACAAUGGUCGGUACAACGAGUUGCGAGCCGGUGACGGCAAGCUAAUCUCUGAAAGCCGAUCUCAGUUCGGAUUGGAGGCUGCAACUCGCCUCCAUGAAGUCGGAAUCGCUAGUAAUCGCGGAUCAGCACGCCGCGGUGAAUACGUUCCCGGGCCUUGUACACACCGCCCGUCACACCACGAGAGUUUGUAACACCCGAAGUCGGUGAGGUAACCUUU
rnacentral:rRNA from 1 species